rnacentral:lncRNA from 1 species
UCAGCACAAAUACAACAUUCUCACUCUCUACUCCACCAACAGGGCGGAGAGGAAGAGAGCCAGUGUGAAGCAGCAGAGUCUCAGCAGAAACCUCUUCAUCCUGGAAAGAACGGACCAAUCAGGACAGCCAUAUUUCAGUCCCGCCCCUCAGGUCCAGGAAGUAUGUCAGGAGGUGGAUGAGUUCAUCUAUGUGGCCAAUGCAGAGACAGGAAGAGGUAACACCAAGACUCCAACACAUUCCUCAUACUUGCUCCUAUUCCUAGGCCCUUGUUGCCAGCCAGAUAAUCUUGUCAAGCAAACUGACUCCUGCGCUCACAGAAUAUGAGCUAUCGCAACAUCAGGCUGGUUCCACCAGGCUACCUUCCAGGACCAGAGCCAGUGAAAGGUGGUGAGGGGGAGGCGUCUCAGAUCCAGGCAUUGGUGGACCCUGCCUAGUGUUCGUCCUCCAGAACCCUCCUGGUCCUGACUUUUGUGUCCAGAGAGGAACCAGACCCAAUCAGAACCACUAGUCCCAGUACUGCUAGAUUAAAGACCAGGAACCCCAGUGUGGAUAUUGCACAGAGGCUCUGCCUGUCCCUGCUACCCAACCUCUGUCUGUCUGUCUGUCUGUCUGUCUGUCUGUCUGUCUGUCUGUCUGUCUGUCUGUCUGUCUGUCUGUCUGUCUGUCUGUCUGUCUGUCUGUCUGCCUGCCUGCCUGCCUGCCUGCCUGCCUGCCUGCCUGCCUGCCUGCCGGAGUGCUCUGGUCUCAGACUGUAGCUAGCUGUCUAAGGAGCCUGUCUGCUGGGGUGCUCUGGUCUCAGGCAGUAGCUAGCUGUCUAAGGAGCCUGUCUGCUGGGGUGCUCUGGUCUUAGACUGUAGCUAGCUGUCAGAGGAUCCUGUCUGCUGGGGUGUUCUGGUCUCAGGCUGUAGCUAGCUGUCCAAGGAACCUGUCUGCUGGGGUGCUGUGGUCUCAGACUGUAGCUAGCUGUCAGAAGUUCCUGUCUGCUGGGGUGCUCUGGUCUCAGGCUGUAGCUAGCUGUCAGAGGAUCCUGUCUGCUGGGGUGCUCUGGUCUCAGACUGUAGCUAGCUGUCAGAGGUUCCUGUCUGCUGGGGUGCUCUGGUCUCAGGCUGUAGCUAGCUGUCAGAGGAUCCUGUCUGCUGGGGUGCUCUGGUCUCAGGCUGUAGCUAGCUGUCAGAGGAUCCUGUCUGCUGGGGUGCUCUGGUCUCAGGCUGUAGCUAGCUGUCAGAGGAUCCUGUCUGCUGGGGUGCUGUGGUCUCAGGCUGUAGCUAGCUGUCAGAGGAUCCUGUCUGCUGGGGUGCUGUGGUCUCAGGCUGUUGCUAGCUGUCAGAGGAUCCUGUCUGCUGGGGUGCUGUGGUCACAGGAUCCUGUCUGCUGGGGUGCUGUGGUCUCAGGCUGUAGCUAGCUGUCAGAGGAUCCUGUCUGCUGGGGUGCUGUGGUCUCAGGCUUUAGCUAGCUGUCAGAGGAUCCUGUCUGCUGGGGUGCUGUGGUCUCAGGCUGUAGCUAGCUGUCAGAGGAUCCUGUCUGCUGGGGUGCUCUGGUCUCAGGCUGUAGCUAGCUGUCAGAGGUUCCUGUCUGCUGGGGUGCUCUGGUCUCAGGCUGUAGCUAGCUGUCAGAGGAUCCUCUCUGCUGGGGUGCUGUGGUCUCAGGCUGUAGCUAGCUAUCUAAGGAACUACCUUCAGCACAAAUGCUUCUGAAGGAAUGUUCUACCUCUGAUGUGCCUUGUUUCAAUGAAUCGCAAAAGAAAAAGUCAUUAUUGGGUUAAUAUUAUUUAAUAACCCUGUCAAAAUGUUUUGGUGAAUAAAUUGUGGGUUGUGAAACAAAACAGAAGUGAAGAGAACUACUGUUUAACUGUAGCUACGGUACUUUAAUGAAGAUAAUGAAGGGUUUUGGUUAUGACAUUGUUUUCUUCUACUACUACUGCGUAGUUUAGAAGCAUUUAGAAUCAUAUUGAUGUGACAAGGAAUUAU